AGAACAGUUCGAGGUCGUGGCGAAAUCGAGUUAAAACGGCUCACGAGGUAUUUUUAUAAUUGGGAACGUUUCUUGCACUUGCACCACCGACUGUAUUUUUCCAGAUAAAUUCCGAACCCAAUCGCCGGUUCGCCGGUUCGCUGCACCGGUCGGUGGUGGACGGCCAAUUAAAAUCCUGGAACGAGCGCAGCACCAGGAAGCACAAUUUCACAUUCCAUUGCAUAGCCCCCUCCCGAGCGCCAAAAUAGCCCCCUGGAUGAUGGUGGUCGCGUUCUCUCAGUUGGUUCGUUUUCUAAAAUCGAAAAUCGUGACUUCAUGGCCGGUGGAGGAAAAUUGGUAAUUAUGAUGCUGAGCUGAAUGCACGAUGAGGUUUCAUGGCUUGCUACUACUACUACUACACCCAGCACAUACCAGCUCAUCAUCCUCAUGCGCGCACGUGGCCGUUUGGUCAGUGGCGUUUCGCCACAUUGUGUAUGGUGGGCAGCGCUGUGUCAUGUCACGUGCCUGGAUGGCGCACUUUCCCGGAAGUGGAAUAUCAGUUGCAUGCGCAAGAGAAGGUUGUACAUCGGAAAUUGGAAGGAAGUUUUUUUACACGAAAACAAAAACAACAAAACUAGUCAAGUGAUCCGCAAACUGAACGAUGUUGACGUAUGGAAGCGAGAUGAGAGAAGAUCUUAAUUAAAGGUUUUACAGUCCCUGUAAACCAUCGCUACUCGGGCGUUACAGUGUCCUUAAAAACGCUCCAACUCCCCUCCCCCAUUGGCAGAGGCUGCAGAGUUCGUAGAAAUUGAGGGAAUGUUUCCAUAA